CACUGCUGUGCCGUAGAACUGCUGUGCCAUAGGACCUCUGUGCCAGGAACUGAGGCCGCACACCAACACCGCAGCUGUGGCUCUCCCUGUCCCGUGCCGCACUGGCUGCUGGUCGUGAACUUCUGCAGGAAGUCAAUUAGACCCAACAGAUGGCAGAGAACAUCCCGGCAUCAGCACAUUGUGCCAUCUGCCGCCGCAGGAGAGCGGGACGGCCCCUCCCGAGCCACGCACCGCAGCGGCCCCAACGCGGGGACCCACGGCACUGCCCCGGGACGAGGCCGGGGGGUCCCACGCGCGUUGAGAACGAGCAGGAGCCGAGCCGGGCCGAGCCGAGCCGGGCCGAGCCGCGCCGCACGCAGCGCCCGCACGUCCCCGUGCGCAGCCCCGCGCCUCUCCCCGCGCUCGGCAGGUGAGCCGGCAGCUCCGCACCUGCUGCUACGCGCAAUCAGGAGAUGCUCGCACAAGAGGCACUGACGCGGCUCUUCCUCAAUCAGCGGCUCUUCACGCCCAGCUCCGCGCCACUCGCUGCUGAUUGCCCUUUGUCUCCCGCAAGGCCGCGCGCUGCGCCGCUCUCCUCUCCCCGUAUCCCUGCGGAUCCCGGCGGGGAGCGGUGCCGGGGGGUCGCGGGGGUGCGGGGCCGUGGUCCGGUUGGGCUCCUGCGGGGCGCCGGGCGCAGCGUGGGAUGGGGCAGCUCGCUCCCAUCCGCGGUGCUGGAGCGCGGCCGAGCGCCGGGGAGCGGCGCACCUAAAUCUCCCCUGCCUGUCCCUCCAGAGAUGUCCCCCUUUAU
rnacentral:lncRNA from 1 species